GGAGCUGUAGAUGGGACGGCCGAGGCUGUCUGUGGUCCACAGACCGCCCCGCGGGUGCCUGCCCUCCUGGCAAACUCCAACUGACGUACCACUGUAUGCUGCUCAUGGAUGCAUGACUGAAUGCUGAGAUGCUGUUAGCAGAGAUACGAGCUGUGGCAUGGAGGGAGAAGAGAAAGGUGAAGAUGAAGUCAGUACCUGGAGGUGGCUGAGCACGAUCCACGCUGCAGGAAGUUGGGAGACGAAACUGAAUCCCUGCAAGGAGGAAGCAGCAGCAGUUACCAUGAGGACACAGGUAUUUCUCACAUCACAUGACAUGUACGUUGAAAUUACCUACGGCUUCGUACAGAUAUGAGAUAUUUCUUAUUUACACGGGGUAUCAGGAUUCUGUGAGAUGAGAGAGAAACACAACUACGAAGACUUCAGAUUUACACAUACUUUUUUUGUUUGAUUUGCUUUUUAAUUUUUAUUUAAUUGACUCGAAAAAAGUCUGUCAGAAUUUGUGUUUCUGUCUCAAAUGCAGAAAUUCUAAUGCAGUUAACACCAACUACAAAUCGAUGGGCAAGGUUCAAAGCCAAAUCUUCUAAAAAUGUUCCACAGAUAUAUUAGUUAUUCUCCAUGAACAUUUUAGUAGACAAUGAAAGUCUCUUCACAUUUAAGUGUACGCCAAGUUUGUUUGUUUUUUUAUGAAAAUUGCCCAUCUACAGUUUCCUAAUGAAUAACAGUAAACAUGUAAAAUACUUAUUUCUGUUCGCUCAGUAAAUGAGUCAGCAUUGCAUAAAAACAUACAUAACAGGGAAAAAACAUGCACUGGCUGAGUUGGAAAACAGACACUUUAUCAUAAUAACAUGGUUAUCUCAUUCAGACCACAAUUUUUUUAAUUUUCUUUUUCAAAUUUAAGAUUCAAAUUGAUUUAAGUUUUUGUGGUAGACUCUUUUUUUUGGACUUGGAUCAUUUAUCAUACAGAACUUUUUUUUUUCCCCCCCAUCAGUACAGUGUCUGUUUUUUAGGGGAAUAAUUGAGUAUAGCAAGUCUUGAAAAAUAAGUGAAACUUUUUAGAGUUAAAAACAUAGUCUGUAAUAUUUUAAACUUCAGGAAUCAAGAUUUGACAUGUACAAAUAAAUUUUAUAUAAAAUCAGACAAAUGAGCUGAAAUAAGUGGACAAAGAUGUUUGUAAAGUAGAACAGUCUAUAUCCAAUCUUGUUUGUCAUCUUUCAUCCAUAUCCACAUAGUUUUGACAUUUUUAAUUUGGAAUUUGGAGUUCAAGUUGUACUUUUUAUAAAGUUAAUAUCCAGACGUGCAGUUACACUCUCUGAUACGUUGGCCAGUGACCUCAUUGUUUGUCAGAUUUGUAUUAUUGUUUCCCACAACAUUGUCAUUUGAUUGUCUUCACUCAAUACCUGAUUAAAGCACUGGGACCUC